rnacentral:rRNA from 1 species
GAUGAACGCUAGCGGCAGGCUUAACACAUGCAAGUCGAGGGGUAGAGGUUGCUUGCAACCUUGAGACCGGCGCACGGGUGCGUAACGCGUAUGCAACCUACCUUUUACAGAGGGAUAGCCCAGAGAAAUUUGGAUUAAUACCUCAUAGUAUAUAUCUUUCGCAUGUUAGGUAUAUUAAAGUUCCAACGGUAAAAGAUGGGCAUGCGUCCUAUUAGCUAGAUGGUAAGGUAACGGCUUACCAUGGCUACGAUAGGUAGGGGUCCUGAGAGGGAGAUCCCCAACACUGGUACUGAGACACGGACCAGACUCCUACGGGAGGCAGCAGGGAGGAAUAUUGGACAAUGGGCGCAAGCCUGAUCCAGCCAUGACGCGUGCAGGAAGAAGCAUCUAGGGUGUGUAAACUGCUUUUGUACAGGAAGAAACAUCCCGACGUGUCGGGACUUGACGGUACUGUAAGAAUAAGGAUCGGCUAACUCCGUGCCAGCCGCCGCAGUAACAC